GUGCUCGCUUCAGCCGCACAUAUACUAAAAUUGGAACAAUACAGAGAAGAUUAGCACGGCCCCUGUGCAAGGAUGACACACGAAUUUGUGAAGUAUUCUAUAUUUUU
ensembl:snRNA U6 U6 spliceosomal RNA